GAAAUGCGAUAAGUAAUGUGAAUUGCAGAAUUCCGUGAAUCAUCGAAUCUUUGAACGCACAUUGCGCCCCCCGGCAAUCCGAGGGGCAUGCCUGUCCGAGCGUCAUUGCAACCCCUCAAGCGCGGCUUGUGUGUUGGGCCUUGCGUCCCCCGUGGACGGGCCCGAAAGGCAGUGGCGGCGUCGUGCUCCGGUGCCCGAGCGUAUGGGUCUUCGUUAUCCGCUCAGAGGCCCCGGCCGGCGCUGGCCUCCCCCGGCCUCAGGCUGGACCAUCUCGUGGUUGACCUCGGAUCAGGUAGGGAUACCCGCUGAACUUAA
rnacentral:misc_RNA from 1 species